AUUCCGACUACUCUGUGUCAAUCGAAGUAUUAACAAAUAUCUCACAAGAAUUUCGAUUUGUGUAUUGCUUAUACACACUUCUCUUCCAUUUGAAUACAACGCAACACAACACAACAGACUCAUUUGUUAGUGUUUUUGUUUACUUUGAUUCCUUAUGAGAUUAUUUUGAGUUUCUACACCGACACCAGUUGAACAUAAAUUUCAUCACGAAGUGAAAUUUGGACAUAUAUUUUAACACAAGUACAAAUACUAUGAAACAUAGAGUAGCUGAAUAUUUUAAGCGAAACAGAAUUUGGAGAGAAUAAAGUAAAUUAGAAUGAAAUUAUCACAUUGUAAAUAAUGUUAUAUGUAUAAUAAUAAUAUUAAAAUUCAUAUUGAAUAAACUACCUCUGGCGAAGAAACGCUGUAUGUUGCAGAAUAAUAAUAAUAUUGAAGCUAGCAUCGAUUGAGUAAAGUUGUAAAAACCACACAGUGAACUUAUUUAAUUUUUGUCAAUCCAAGAUUUUCCAUCAUGGCCCGUGGAGACUGUGGAGCUCGCAGAAAUGGAAGUGAGGAGAGGUUUACAACACUCUCAGAAUUCAAAGGAGGCAAAUUAAAAAACAUUUAGUGUAAAACAUCAAAUUACCCACUGUUUUUUGCCAUUGUAGGCAAAAUGUCAGUUUACCUCCACUGUAUGAAAAUUGUCGGCAAAAUGUCAUUUUACCUACAUUUUUGGUGGAACGGUGUUUCAAUGUAUUAACAAUGUAGGUGAAAUGACAUUUUGCCGACAAUUUUAAUACAGUGGAAGUAAAUUAACAAUGGCAAAAGACAGUGGGUAAUUUGAUGUUUUACACUAUAUGUUUUUUAGUUUGCCUCCUUUGAAUUCUGAGAGCAGGGACUACAAACAAUCAUCCAAACACCGUAUCGACGUAUUUGUCAAGGAAUUGGGGAAAUGAGCAUCAUGGCAACGCUAAUCUCACUCCUAGCAUCGCUCUAUUUCCUAUAUUUGUUUCUUUUUACAUUUACAAUUUUCGCAUAAAAUAUCCACAUUAUUUACAAUCCACAUGCAAGAGCCAGAAAUACCAGAGCUUCCUUAAACCACCAACUUUACAGUUGUUCUAUAGUGCACAUGUAAGCGGCGACACGUGAAAAUUGAUGCAGAUCAUUGUACAAUAUUUUACUACAACAAAACAACUCGAGCAAAAGGUACUCGAGUCUACCGAAACGACGAAGUCUAACAGCGCUACCUCACAUAGACUGAAUUUAAGAAGAGAGGAGUCUGGAGUUCGUAUAUCAGCAAAGACGAAAUUAUCAAACUGGGCAAGAAUAAGAAGGAAUUGGGAAAUUCGAUAGUAUCAGAUGGUAUGUCAGCGUCGGUGUUAUUCAAAUUGCCUAAACAAAGCGAAAUGCUGAUGAUGAUGAGACUUAAACCAAGCGCAAAUAUUUGGCAAACGAAUUUGUGUAUGCACUCGGAAUCGAUCCGGGGAUGCGAACCUGGAAUGCGACAGUCCGCCGCAAUCUCAAGAAGAGAGCAACGAGAAGCAUUUGUUCAAACAAUACCAUCAGAAAUCGAAGCAAGAUGCGCGCAACAUUAAAACCGAACGAAUGACACGAGUCUUCACGGUGCGGUGUCCAGGUGUUCGCAAGCUGAUUGCAGCCUCAAAAAGACUAAUUGUGUUGUUCGGCUGGUGGAUGAAUACAUGACAUCGCAACAUUUAACAGAUGAUUCAAUAGCAAACGAUACAAGAAGUGCAACGACUGCCGAACGGAUGAACGUGUUAGACUUCCGAAAACCAUCUAUACGAACGUGGGCAUACGGGUGUUGCAGAUGCAACGGGAAAUCAUGCGCACAUAGGAGAAAAUGCAAGACCAAGGUGAUGCUAUAGCAGCCAUUCUAACCCAACGAAAUUCAGGACGUUUGGUGUCAAAGAAGCAACGCUUCUUCGAAACCAGGAAACCAAAUGCUGAUGAAAACGUUGGGACAGGAGACGCUGCACAGUCACGCAAGUUGCUCAAAACACUUUGGCAUCGGGACAUAUCAGCAGCCAAACUGAUCAUGUACAAAGGUCUUUGUAUGCUGCUUGACAUUCGAAACAUAUUGAUGAGACGACCAAAUGUGUUCCACUAAAUCGAUAAUUCAAAAUCCAGCGUUUAGCAUUAAAGUUUUUUCUACCAAAUAUUUUCUAAUAGUUUAUUGGAGAUCUCAAGCCUUGCACUUAGUGGGCUAUUUAAGGUGCAUGAAGUGUGCUUUAGGUGCGCUUCAUGUGCCACAAGUGGUUGUAUAGACGUUAUUUGAUGGUCUGAAAGAAUCAUAUUCGUUUUUCGCUUUGGCAAUGUCAAAUUGGCAUCACGCCACCGUUCUAUGGAUAUGACUUGUUCAAUGCAUCAUAUGAAGAUAAGUAAAAUUUGUUCAACGCUUCGGAACGAGAAUUAUUCAGACAUUUGAAAGAAUAAAAAAAGCCUUUUUUCGCUUCGGGAAGAGUGAAUAUUGAUUGCUCCGUUGUGUGAACACCAUUAAUUGAUUCAGAAUUUCUUUCGCUUUAAUUUAAAAUCUACCGAUUUUCUUUUUCAGGUUAUGAAAAACACCCUAAUUGUAUAGUAGGCAGUAGCUUUUUAGAAGUAGAACAAGCUCAAGUUUUUUUUAUCAAUUUUCAUGUCUCUAUUCAAAUAAAUGAAGAGAAUUUUGAAACAAAGUGACAUAAUUCUACUGUAGGAUGAUAUAAUAAUGAAUCUAAUUAAAAUUACUCUUCAAUCUGAUCAGCUUUGUGAAGAAAGAUUUUGUUGUAUGACAUAUCAUUGAACGAAUUCAUUGAACAUAUCUUUUUGGUAAUUCAAUAAAUACAUAUGACACUUCAUUGAACGAAUUCAUUGAACAUAUCUUUUUUAGUAUUCAAAUCACUUUCUAUAGUGAAACAAGAACACCAUUUUAAAGUAUUCCCUCUCAAUUUCAUUUUCUUGAGAAAUGUGCAUCUUUCUAAUAGAAAGACAAUAUUGUGUUAAUAACUAGUUAAAGUUCAUUUUGAAAAAGGCGCGUGAAAAAAAAUUAAAGUGUAUUUCUUUGUAUACUGUCUGCAGAAAAAAGUGGUUAUAGAUCGGAUAAUCUUUGUAUGUAUAGGAAAAUGAGUGGCAACGCAUCAUUCAAUUCAACAUUUGAAGUCUCCCCAAUGCGAGAACCAAUGCAGAAAUCAAAGGAUUCGAUGUUAUCAGCUGAGGCACCAGAAUUUAUUCCACGUGUUAAUGGUUCAGCACAAGGUAAUCCUUUGACAGCACAAUCGUAUCAUCGUAAUCAACAGUCAGUUCAAAUGGUAAACCAUAAUGCGUAUCGUAGCCAAAAUCAUGCUGUGUCGCAAUAUUCG